GCUUAUCAAGAAGGUCUCCAUAGCAUGUAGUGGUGACGAAGUCUAAUUUUUUAAUGCAGUCUUCCUUCACAUCGAGCACUAAACCUUAUUGUUGUUGGAGUGGGGACAUAGCAUUCACUUGUCACCAGCCAGGUAUCCCUAAAGACCUCGCUGCCCCACUAACGCAGCACUACCAGACCAGGAAGAGCCAUGGGCUGGCCUCUGCUUUGAAAGGAGGUGAUCAAACCUGAGACGAAGAAAGUCACGAAGUCAGAGCUCAAGUGCUGUGGUGUCCUUUUAAUCAUAUCCUCAGCAUCAAAGUGUGAGUUCUGUCCUCAGGUGAGAACUGUCAUAGUGGUGCCUUAAAGGGGUAAAUAUCUUCUGCUGUGCUCCUCCCACUAUGCGGAUGACCUGACCUGGAUUUCUGUUGUGCUGGUAACACAUCUGCAUUUCUCUAUGAAAUAACGUCUUAGCAGAAUGGAAGGUCCCCAGGGUUUCUAAAAGUGGCCCUGCAGGAAUGUCCCAAAUCAUAAAAUGGGAAAAAUAUUCAAGAUAUUCAGUAACUUCACCUACUGCGUGUCAGUACUGAAACUGUUUUUCAGUGUCAGCCCUCAAUGAAUUGUCGGGCCAUACUGUGUUUACCACUAAGCUUCCUCCUUACCGUGAUGCAGCCAGAUUUCAAACCCCAGAGGAGUCCCUGUGUUGGUUAUGGAAACAGGAAAUACAGCAAAGCACUGCAAGAUAUGAGGAUAACAACGAGCUGUGCUAGCUGGAGCUGCUGUGUUUGCAAGAAGCUGAACCCAAAGGUCAUAUGGCAGCCACCUGGCAGAAGAAUGGGACCUUGCUGCUUGGACGUGGGAUGCUUGCAAGCACGUUCCUCUCAAAUAAGAGGUUACGAUGAAGAGUUUAGAGCUGUUGGUUGGAUGCAGUCAGGUGGGGCUUAAAUCACACAACACAAAUCAGCCAUAAGUACAAAACUCUGCAAAGAUCUUAGUUUGUUUCCAGAUAUGCAGCACUGCUGAGACUCUGGCACUAAAUCUCAUUAAAAUGUGAGUGCAGAGGGGCUGGCAAGACUGAUGGCAUUAAAUGCAUGUCCCUAUGCAAAUGCACUUUGAUUUGUAGCUAAAACAAGAGGCUUUUAGACUUUGAGAGCACCUCAGGUGCAUGUAAGCUACUUCAGAAAAACAUGAGGCUGUGUGAGGCAGCAGAGCUGAGGUGCUACAGGUGAGGUGGAUCUGGAAGUUCUUCCACAGAUAGAUACUGCAAGCAUCAACUCAAAAAUCCUGCAAGUACCACUCAGCAACACCUGCCUUCGCUGUGUGACCACAGUGUCAGCAGCACUAGGAGCAUCUUGCAUUUUGGUCCUUUCUGCUAAACAUGCACCUUUAUGGCUACUGGGAGAAGAACUUCUGCAGUGCCCUUUUCAUUAGCUUAACAUAAAACAGUUGUUACUCAGUAUAUGCAUCUUCCAGUGUAGGGUCACCCUCUCUGUGGUUUCUUGUAUUUCGAACAGAUGUGUG
rnacentral:lncRNA from 7 species